rnacentral:rRNA from 1 species
GAUUAACGCUGGCGGCGUGCAUAACACAUGCAAGUCGAACGACGAAACUUAGUAGACUUCUUCGGAAAGACACUAAGCGGAUUAGUGGCGAACGGGUGAGUAACGCGUGAGUAACCUGCCUUACACAAGGGGAUAGCCUUUGGAAACGAAGAAUAAUACCCUAUAAAACCAUAAAAGCACAUGCUAGAAUGGUCAAAGUGAUAGCGGUGUAAGAUGGACUUGCGUCUGAUUAGCUAGUUGGUGAGAUAAAAGCUCACCAAGGCAACGAUCAGUAGCCGGCUUGAGAGAGUGUACGGCCACAUUGGGACUGAGACACGGCCCAGACUCCUACGGGAGGCAGCAGUGGGGAAUUUUGCACAAUGGGGGAAACCCUGAUGCAGCGACGCCGCGUGAUUGAGAAGGCCUUCGGGUUGUAAAAAUCUUUUGUAUAGGAAGAAAAUGACAGUACUAUACGAAUAAGGUCCGGCUAAUUACGUG